GUCAAGAUAAUGACUGUAGCCGGAGAAGAAGCCCGGGCUAACUUCGUGCCAGCAGCCGCGGUAAUACGAAGGGGGCUAGCGUUGCUCGGAAUUACUGGGCGUAAACGGAGCGUAGGCGGACAUUUAAGUCAGAGGUGAAAUCCCGGAGCUAAACUUCGGAACUGCCUUUGAU
rnacentral:rRNA from 1 species